UAAUGAGUGUGGGAAGGUUCUCAAUACUUUGCUUAAGCAAGAAAAUAAUUCAAAAUUACUAUUCUUUAGGCCAUACUUGUCUCCACAUCAUUAAUUAUAAGUUAAUUAUUAAUCAAUUAAAACUAUGAUACCUUCCCUAUUCGCGCCCACCUUGGCUAGCACAGCGCACCCAGCACCAGCAAGUUGGUACGCCUCCUCAGCCUGUAGUACUCGUGCUAGAAUAGAGUGAAAUAGAAUGUAUGAAUUUUGUUCAAUAAUAAUAUACAAACUAUUAGAGUAUUCAUUGGGUUGAAAUAUACAUUUCAAAAGUAGUAAAAUAAAAUAGGUCGACAGCAUUUUUUUUUAUUAUGAAUGAUUUAAAUAUAUUAAUUUAUAAAUCUUAAUUAAGUAAAUCAAUUAAAGAAUCAGCUAGUUGAUCACAUAACACUAGCUUCAAUCUACUAGCUUACCUCAUAUAAGCCUUCCACUCCUCCAAACACUUCAAUUUUGAGUAAGCUUCUUAAUUUCCAGGUACCUAUUUAAGGUCAUCGUACCUUCC
rnacentral:lncRNA from 1 species